UACGAAGGGGGCUAGCGUUGCUCGGAAUCACUGGGCGUAAAGGGUGCGUAGGCGGGUCUUUAAGUCAGGGGUGAAAUCCUGGAGCUCAACUCCAGAACUGCCUUUGAUACUGAGGAUCUUGAGUUCGGGAGAGGUGAGUGGAACUGCGAGUGUAGAGAUGAAAUUCGUAGAUAUUCGCAAGAACACCAGUGGCGAAGGCGGCUCACUGGCCCGAUACUGACGCUGAGGCACGAAAGCGUGGGGAGCAAACAGG
rnacentral:rRNA from 1 species